rnacentral:rRNA from 1 species
CCCUUAGAUGUUCGGGGCCGCACGCGCGCUACACUGAAUGAAUCAGCGAGUGUAUGUCCUAGGCCGAAAGGUCCGGGUAACCCGUUGAACCUCAUUCGUGAUUGGGAUAGGGACUUGCAAUUGUUUCCCUUGAACGAGGAAUUCCCAGUAAGCGCAAGUCAUCAGCUUGCGUUGAUUACGUCCCUGCCCUUUGUACACACCGCCCGUCGCUCCUACCGAUUGGGUGAGCCGAUGAAACUCUCGGAUGUAGGCUAUUCAUAGCCCGCAGAAGAGAUUUGAAUCGUAGCGCUUAGAGGAAGGAGAAGUCGUAACA